rnacentral:misc_RNA from 1 species
AUUUAACACUGAUAUCUCGGCAGUCCACUGCCGCAUCGAGACUGAAAUAUUUAGGAGUAUUGAGCGUUCUCUUGUUGGUAUCAGCCCUGAUAUCUAGUUUUCAACUUGUUGGCAUCGGAAACAGUCAACUUUAUUACCCGGGUUCUUGGUGCUUUCUAGAUUUUACCAGCAAGUCUUUUGGCAAUAGGAUUGCUGCCUAUGUAUAUUCGGGAUUAGGGAUCUCAAUUAUGACUUCGACGUUUAUCAUCGGUAUGAUGACUCUGAGAAUAACGUGCAGGAACGCAGAAAAUCAAGCAUUGCUACUCGACAACUCUCUAGUGUCCGGAGUUUAUGACAAGCACGUGACAGCAUUUCUUAUAACUUCGAUAUUCACCUUUGUUUUCCUAUGGGGACCUCUUCUUCUGGCUUAUCAAAGAGCAACGAUAAGAAGGAACUGUGGUUGAUAAGGUUGAUGUACUUGAACACACAGAUCAAUCCCUGGCUUUACGUUAUAUUGCGCAAAGAGAGCAUGCGCAGAUUUUACGUCAUGAUUUUGCGGUGUACCAGGUUUUGUCGCUCAGAAGAUGAUGAUCAGCGUUACAGCGAGGUCACGGAUUUUGCCGGUGAUGAUUAAACAGCAAUGUUAUUUGUACUCUUUUUGUGAAAAGAAAAAUAAAGAGUAGCAACGU